rnacentral:rRNA from 1 species
CUGAUGCAGCGACGCCGCGUGAGGGAUGGAGGCCUUCGGGUUGUAAACCUCUUUCGCUCAUGGUCAAGCCGCAACUUAGGGUUGUGGUGAGGGUAGUGGGUAAAGAAGCGCCGGCUAACUACGUGCCAGCAGCCGCGGUAAUACGUAGGGCGCGAGCGUUGUCCGGAAUUAUUGGGCGUAAAGGGCUUGUAGGCGGUUGGUCGCGUCUGCCGUGAAAUCCUCUGGCUUAACUGGGGGCGUGCGGUGGGUACGGGCUGACUUGAGUGCGGUAGGGGAGACUGGAACUCCUGGUGUAGCGGUGGAAUGCGCAGAUAUCAGGAAGAACACCGGUGGCGAAGGCGGGUCUCUGGGCCGUUACUGACGCUGAGGAGCGAAAGCGUGGGGAGCGAACA